UACGAGGGGUCCUAGCGUUGUUCGGAAUCAUUGGGCGUAAAGCGCACGUAGGCGGCUCCAAAAGUCGGUUGUGAAAUCCCUGGGCUCAACCGAGGAAGUGCAUCCGAAACUGCGGAGCUUGAGUAUGGAAGAGGGUCGCGGAAUUCCCGGUGUAGAGGUGAAAUUCGUAGAUAUCGGGAGGAACACCAGUGGCGAAGGCGGCGACCUGGGCCAAUACUGACGCUGAGGUGCGAAAGCGUGGGGAGCAAACAGG
rnacentral:rRNA from 1 species